GAAAGGGAGAGAGAGCGAAGAUUGUGGCUGAAGAGGGACUUGUUUCAUGGAUUCCACUGGACAACUGUAAAGAGUGAGAACCAGGGAGGGCUUGUGUGAAAGAGAUUGGAACUCAUCUGUGCUUUUGGGGUGCUCGUCACUUCGUGCUGCCACCCAUAGCAACUUGAUCGGAAGGAGGAGUUGAGCAGCCAGGUGUAGAAGCAGUGUUAAAGCCCGUCGCUGGUGUUUAUUCUGGUCGAUAUUUUUCGGGGAUUAUUUUUUUGUUUGUUUUUCUCUCCACCGGACCACCAUUUUGGGAUAUUCAAUCUUCAGACUGAACUACUCAGAGCGAGGACAGCACGGAAUACAGACGACCCACGUUGGCUCCUCAACUGGCUCAGUUACCUCCAAAAACCGUUCUGAACUUGGAGUGCGAGUGUUGUCCCACGUGACAACAGAAGCCAGUUUAGGAGCUUCUCCAGAUAGCUGCACAUCUCUCAGUACCCUGAUAAGAUUCAACAAAUUUCCUCACUAGGAGUGCCGGUAUAAGACUCAUCGAGGUAAAAAUGUCACGAAGUCUGUCAGAUCAGGAUCCAUAUUUGAAAGGAGCAAGAUCCGUCUACAAAGUUGGAUGCAGUUUAUAUACAGGUUUGCACAGGGAUUAAAGCUGCGACAAAUCGAUCUAAUUCAAGAUGGUGUUUCUAGAAGCACACGUACGCUGUCCAAAAUGAGUAAAAAAACUGCGAAUGAUCUGCAAAAGAGCAUUAAAGCGAAAAAGGAGAAGCACAGGACAACACCUGGGAGGACACAGGGAGUUUGUAGUAAUAGACGAAAGUAACUUCUGCCACAAACGCAAGUAUGGUCGAGGUAGAUUUGGCCGGACCUGGAACAGAAGAAAGUGGGUUUUUGGAUUACUGGGCGUCAGAGAACAAAGAAGAAGACCCAUUCUCCGAUUGGUGGAAAAAAAAUCUCGACGUCAUUUACUUCCAAUUAUCAGAAAGCAUGUACGUAGAGGUUCAACAAUUAUCAGUGAUCAAUGGAGGGCUUACAUGGGUGCUCUUCAUAAUGCAGGUUACACACAUUUUAGUGUAAACCACAAGAGAUGGUUUGUUGACCCUCAGAGUGGUGGUCAUACACAGCAUUUGGAAAGAGCUUGGGGUAUCUACAAAGGCCAGAUCUGGAGACUACGAGGUAACAGAACUGAAAAUCUGUUAAAGGAGCACCUGUCAGUUAUUGAGUGGACCUACUGGCUGGGAAAGAACCACCGUGAGGGUCCUCUUGGGCGUCUCCUUAAAGACAUACGCCAGUAUUUUCCAGUGUAGGCAACCAUUUCAAAAUGUUUAAAACAAAGCAGUUAUAAAAAAUAACUAUAUACAGUAUUGUGCAAAUGUUUUCGGCACCCGUGGGAAUGUCGGUAAAGAAUAAGCUUCUUAUUUGUGAAGUUAUUUUUAGUUCUCAUCAUAUCAACACCUGGUUUGGUAAAUUGGUAAAUUUGGUAAAUCAGGUGAGCUGCUGACGGAACUGAACAUAUACACAUGCUGGCUGAAUAAAUGCAUCCAGGAGAAAUCUGGAAGUAAACUUUAUUUUUCAGCUUGGCUCACAGGAUGUAGCAUAUUUAGUUAAAAAUAUUAUGUUUUGCUGUUUUUAUGUUUAUUUGCAUCUGUUCAAAUCAUAUGUGGUGCUUUUUUCAGGUAAAAACACUCAAAUUGCUAAUAAAUUAGUUUAAUUCAGGGGUGAUAGCGUUCCGGCGCCGCGCCGGAAAUCCGGCGUAGCGUGGCUCUGUAAAAAAAAAAAGCUUUCCCCAUCCCCUAUG